AUGUUAGUUACUCAACUUGAAUUGAAAGUUAUUGGCUUUGAGCAUGUUAAAGAUCUUUAUGCACAUGAUCCUUCGUCUGCGAUUCCUUAUGCCAAAUGUCUUGCUAACACUUGUUGGGAGAACUAUUAUCUCAAGAAUGGCUAUCUCAUGUGUGCUAACAAACUUUGUAUACCCCAGUCUUCGCUUCGUUUGUUACUUUUGCAAGAGGCUCACGGCGGAGGACUUAUGGGACAUUUCGGGCGCGACAAGGCCUAUGCCACACUCUCCUUCAAGUACUUUUGGCCAAAGAUGUUUUGCGACGUCGCACGCUUCACCAACCGGUGCUCUACAUGCCAGAAAGCUAAGUCCCAAGCUCAAUCUCAUGGUUUACAUAUGCCACUUCCAAAUAUCAAACAUGGGAAGAUAUUAGCAUGUAUUUUGUACUUGGAUUGCCUAGGACUCAAAAUGGAAAGGUUUUCGUAUUUGUUAUUGUGGACCGAUUCUCUAAAAUGA
rnacentral:rRNA from 1 species